GUGGGGAAUAUUGGACAAUGGGGGGAACCCUGAUCCAGCCAUGCCGCGCGUGUGAAGAAGGCCUUUUGGUUGUAAAGCACUUUAAGCGAGGAGGAGGCUACCGAGAUUAAUACUCUUGGAUAGUGGACGUUACUCGCAGAAUAAGCACCGGCUAACUCUGUGCCAGCAGCCGCGGUAAUACAGAGGGUGCAAGCGUUAAUCGGAUUUACUGGGCGUAAAGCGCGUGUAGGUGGCCAAUUAAGUCAACUGUGAAAGCCCCGAGCUUAACUUGGGAAUUGCAUUCGAUACUGGUUGGCUAGAGUAUGGGAGAGGAUGGUAGAAUUCCAGGUGUAGCGGUGAAAUGCGUAGAGAUCUGGAGGAAUACCGAUGGCGAAGGCAGCCAUCUGGCCUAAUACUGACACUGAGGUGCGAAAGCAUGGGGAGCAAACAGGAUUAGGAACCCGAGUAGUCC
rnacentral:rRNA from 1 species